UCGUGCUAGACGGGGAGUUAGCGGUGCCCUGUACCCGCAAGCCGCUAUAGCGGGGUCGAAUUCCCAUCAGAGGAUUGGUCUUGUGGGGUCCGGUCUAACCAAGUGGCGUUGACGAUUGGGUCUUACGCAAUAAGAAUUUAUGAAUCCCGUCAGGUCCGGAAGGAAGCAGCGGUAAGUAAAACCUCUUAUGUGCCGUAAGGAAGCCUGAUUUGAGCAAACUAGUUAGGUUACGCCUGGAAGAUCCUUUCGAAGAUGGGUGCACGA
rnacentral:SRP_RNA from 1 species